AGAUUGAACGCUGGCGGCAUGCCUAACACAUGCAAGUCGAACGGGAGUAGCAAUACUCUAGUGGCGGACGGGUGAGGAAUACGUAGGAAUUUGCCCUUAAGUGGGGGAUAACCCGGGGAAACCCGGAUUAAUACCGCAUGACCUCGAAAGAGCAAAGUGGGGGAUCGCAAGACCUCACGCUUUUGGAGAAGCCUACGUCGGAUUAGCUAGUUGGUGAGGUAAUGGCUCACCAAGGCGACGAUCCGUAACUGGUCUGAGAGGAUGAUCAGUCACACCGGAACUGAGACACGGUCCGGACUCCUACGGGAGCAGCAGUGGGGAAUAGUUGGACAAUGGGCGCAAGCC
rnacentral:rRNA from 1 species